rnacentral:lncRNA from 1 species
UACAAUACACCAACCACUCCAUUUCAGAACGAACUUCGUACGAACCUGAAUUGUCAAAUUUCGUGGACUGACCGAUAUCGAAUUGAGUCCAAAACUUGGGGAGCAUUGUAAUAUUGUGGGAGGAGUCAUUUAGUGGGUUUUGAGUGAAAUACAAUCCCUAGAACUAUACAAUACACCAACCACUCCAUUUAAGAACGAACUUCGUACGAACCUGAAUUGUCAAAUUUUGUGGACCGAUCGAUAUCGGAUUGAGUCCAAAACUUGGGGAACAUCAUAAUAUUGUGGGAGGAGGCAUUUGGUGGGUUUUGAGUGAAAUACAAUCCCUAGAACUAUACAAUACAUCAACCACUCCAUUUCCGAACGAACUUGGUACGAACCUGAAUUGUCAAAUUUCGUGGACCGAUCGAUAUCGGAUUGAGUCCAAAACUUGGGGAACAUCAUAAUAUUGUGGGAGGAGUCAUUUGGUGGGUUUUGAGUGAAAUCCAAUAUCUAGAACUAUACAAUACACCAACCACCCCAUUUCAGAACGAACUUCAUACGAACCUGAAAUGUCCAAUUUGUGGGAGGAGUCAUUUGGUGGGUUUUGAGUGAAAUCCAAUCUCUAGAACUAUACAAUACACCAACCACCCCAUUUCAGAACGAACUUCGAAUGAACUUGAAUUGCCCGAUUUCAUUGACCAAUCGAUAUCGGAUUGAGUCCAAAACUUGGGAAAGAACAUAACAUUGUGGGAGGAGGCAUCUGGUGGGUUUUGAGUGAAAUACAAUCCCUAGAACUAUACAAUACACUAAGCACUCCAUUUCAGAACGAACUUCGUACGAACCUGAAUUGUCCGAUUUCAAGGACCAAUCGAUAUAGGAUUGAGUCCAAAACUUGGGGAACAUCAUAAAAUUGUGGGAGGAGUCAUUUGGUGGGUUUUGAGUGAAAUCCAAUCUCUAGAACUAUACAAUACACCAACCACCCCAUUUCAGAACGAACUUCGUACGAACCUGAAUUGUCCGAUUUCAAGGACCAAUCGAUAUUGGAUUGAGUCCAAAACUUGGGGAACAUCAUAAUAUUGUCGGAGGAGUCAUUUGGUGGGUUUUGAGUGA